GGUUGAUCCUGCCAGUAGUCAUAUGCUUGUCUCAAAGAUUAAGCCAUGCAUGUCUAAGUAUAAACAUCUUUAUACUGUGAAACUGCGUACAGCUCAUUAUAUCAGCAAUUAUUUAUUUGAUGGUACCUUACUACAUGGAUAACCGUGGUAAUUCUAGAGCUAAUACAUGCACAAAGCCUCGACUCUCGCGGGAAGAGGUGUAUUUAUUAGAUAAAAAACCAACCACCUCCGGGUGUUCUCAUGGUGAAUCAUAGUAACUGAUCGGAUCGCAUGACCUCGUGUCGGCGACAGUU
rnacentral:rRNA from 1 species